GGCAGUGUGGCCUAGAGGAAGGAGCAUGGGCUUGGGAGUCAGAGGACCUGGGUGCUAAUCCCGGCUCCGCCA
rnacentral:tRNA from 1 species